rnacentral:rRNA from 1 species
GUGGGGAAUAUUGGGCAAUGGGCGAAAGCCUGACCCAGCAACGCCGCGUGAGGGAAGAAGGGUUUCGGCUCGUAAACCUCUGUCCUAUGGGACGAAGAAGUGACGGUACCAUAGGAGGAAGCCCCGGCUAACUACGUGCCAGCAGCCGCGGUAAUACGUAGGGGGCGAGCGUUGUCCGGAAUGAUUGGGCGUAAAGGGCGCGUAGGCGGCUUGUUAAGCCUGGAGUGAAAGUCCUGCUUUCAAGGUGGGAAUUGCUUUGGGAACUGAUGAGCUCGAGUGCAGGAGAGGAAAGCGGAAUUACCGGUGUAGCGGUGAAAUGCGUAGAGAUCGGUAGGAACACCAGUGGCGAAGGCGGCUUUCUGGACUGAAACUGACGCUGAGGCGCGAAAGCGUGGGGAGCAAACAGGAUUAGAAACCCGAGUAGUCC